rnacentral:rRNA from 2 species
AACGCUAGCUACAGGCUUAACACAUGCAAGUCGAGGGGCAGCAUGAAAUCAGCUUGCUGAUUUUGAUGGCGACCGGCGCACGGGUGAGUAACGCGUAUCCGACCUGCCCCGUACUCAUGGAUAGCCUUGCGAAAGCAAGGGUAAUACAUGAUGUUGUCAUUGUUCUGCAUGGGAUGAUGACCAAAGGUUUACCGGUACGGGAUGGGGAUGCGUAACAUUAGGUAGUAGGCGGGGUAACGGCCCACCUAGCCUACGAUGUUUAGGGGUUCUGAGAGGAAGGUCCCCCACACUGGAACUGAGACACGGUCCAGACUCCUACGGGAGGCAGCAGUGAGGAAUAUUGGUCAAUGGUCGAGAGACUGAACCAGCCAAGUAGCGUGCAGGAUGACGGCCCUCCGGGUUGUAAACUGCUUUUAGUUGGGAAUAAAGUUCGGGACGUGUCCCGUUUUGUAUGUACCAUCAGAAAAAGGACCGGCUAAUUCCGUGCCAGCAGCCGCGGUAAUACGGAAGGUCCAGGCGUUAUCCGGAUUUAUUGGGUUUAAAGGGAGCGUAGGCGGAUUAUUAAGUCAGCUGUGAAAGUUUGCGGCUCAACCGUAAAAUUGCAGUUGAUACUGAUAGUCUUGAGUGCACACAGGGAUGCUGGAAUUCGUGGUGUAGCGGUGAAAUGCUUAGAUAUCACGAAGAACUCCGAUUG